AUUUUCUACGAAAGUUAAACAUUCGUAAUACAUUUUUCAGGAUUGAAAUAACGUAUAACUACAAAACUAAAUGUAAUGUACAAUCAGGAAUUAGCAAUAGAUGUCUCAAUUAUUUUAUGUACAUUAUUAACAUCAAUAUUAAA